UAGAAAAUUUAAGAGCAUAUGGUGGAUGCCUAGACUCAAAAUGGCGAUGAAAGACGUAGCAUGGCUGCGAUAAGUUUCGGGGAGGUGCCUAGCAACCGGCGAUCCGAAAAUCUCUGAAUGGGGAAACCUAGCGACUUUAGUCGCUGUCAUACGAAUUACGUAUGACGUGCACCCAGGGAAGUAAAACAUUUCAGUACCUGGAGGAAAAAAGAACAAUUGUUAUUUCGUAAGUAGCGGCGAGCGAAAACGAAAGAGCCCAAACCCGCCUAACUUUUUUGAGUUAUAAUAGAAAAAUGUUUUAUGUCUAUGUUUUACGAAGUUCGAAAGAUAAUCAGUUUUAUACUGGUUUUAGUUCUGAUCUGCGUAGACGAGUAAAAGAACAUUUUUCAGGAGAAAGUUUUGCAACAAAAAGCAGAUUACCUUUUGAGAUAAUUUAUUACGAAGCGUAUCGAAAUGAAAAAGAUGCGCGAGCCCGAGAACGGUUUUUAAAAACUGGCUGGGGCAGAAAUUAUCUCAAAAAGAAUCUGAAAAACUUUCUCGAUUAUACUUAAAAAAGUUUGGCGGGGGUUGUAAGGCAGAAACGUUACUAUUUAUAGUAAGAGAAGUUAAAAAAUAUUGUGUUAGCAGAAUGCGCUGGAAAGCGCGACCCUAGAGGGUAAUAGUCCCGUAAGCGAAAAUACAAUAUCUUCUUUGUUUCUGUUCUUGAGUACUUCGAGACAUGAAUAGCUCGGAGGAAUCUGCCGGUACUAACCGGUAAGGCUAAAUACAUUUUGAGAUCGAUAGUGAACUAGUACCGUGAGGGAAAGGUGAAAAGAAGUC
rnacentral:rRNA from 1 species